GUAGGAGUCUAUUCCGGUGAAGAUCAUGAUGCAAGGAGGUGAAGAUCAUGCAGAGAGACUUUCUUGGAAGGGAAAAGAGAAUGUGGGUGGCCGGAGUCCCAUUUUUCAUCAAGAAGUCGGAAAACCCGCAAGGAACAACUCUACGCAUGAUCUGUGAAGAAGUUUGGCCAGACCUCAACCCGAAGGCGGAGAUCCGAGAGUCGUCCGAGAAUGGGACUUAAUUUAGAGAAAUCAGUAUUUUUGGACACCUCACGGGCAAAGCAAUGCUAGCGAAAGGGCACGCAUCAACCAGGUAAGUCACCACCUGGUAUUUAGGAAGAAAUACUUGUAGGGUUCGCUUGGAUUGUAUGUAUGCAUGUUAGUAAUUUUGCCUUAAAUUAGCUCUCCAUGAAUGAGAUUAAUUAGAUGGAUUGUUAUGAUGUGUUGGGUGAAUUAUCUGAGUGUUGCUUGUAUGCCUUAAGCUUCCGUUGUACGUAUGCAUGCGUUUAAUUUAUGUUAGAAUUGUGUAUGCCGGGUUUUGGGUGCUUGAUGGACGAAUUCGCCCCAUUGAGCGCGAACUUCGUGCUCUGGGUGCUUGAUGGAGGUCAUCGCCCCGUUGAGCCGGUAUGCCUAGUUUGCAUGAAUUACAUACUAUGAUGUUAGAAGAAGAUUGCAUGCACCCUCUGUUCAUUGCUAGGGCCCAUUUCUAUGAUAAGAUUAGGGAAUUUCUGUUAGGAGCGAUAUGUCGCUCUGGACAGACUUAAUUUUACCCUAGAAACUUAGCGGUUUACCACGGCAAGAAAGUACCUAGGAGGGUUCACAGAUUGCUAGCGUGAGAACGGUAUCUAUAGCUUCGUGGGAGGACCAAGGGUCCCUGAUCAGUCCUUACUGUUCUUAGCCAUUUCGCAUGGGAAAUGUGUCCCCACGUCGUACAGCCCAUUAGCUGCAUGGGAACGGGUUGGGUCGCGCCCCCCCAUAGGAGGACUAUAUGGGUGUAGGAGUAUUCAGCACACCCCUAGGCUAGAUACCAUGUAGUUCUAGAUAGCCAUGUAGAGGUAGCGCCUCAUAGAGAGAUACCGACCAUAUCAGCUUGGCAUAAGGAACCUCUAGGUAACUAAUGAAAGGACGAUGAACCGGUGAAACCCAAGGGGCAAGCCCCAAGAGACUA